UACGGGGGGAGCAAGCGUUGUUCGGAUUUACUGGGCGUAAAGGGCGCGUAGGCGGCCACCGCAAGUCAGUUGUGAAAUCUCUGGGCUUAACCCAGAAAGGUCAACUGAUACUGCGGGGCUAGAGUGCAGAAGGGGCAACUGGAAUUCUCGGUGUAGCGGUGAAAUGCGUAGAUAUCGAGAGGAGCACCUGCGGCGAAGGCGGGUUGCUGGGCUGACACUGACGCUGAGGCGCGAAAGCGUGGGGAGCAAACAGG
rnacentral:rRNA from 1 species